rnacentral:rRNA from 1 species
UACGUAGGUGGCAAGCGUUGUCCGGAUUUACUGGGCGUAAAGAGCGCGCAGGCGGUCGUUCAAGUCGCGUGUGAAAGCCCCCGGCUCAACUGGGGAGGGUCACUCGAUACUGAUCGACUUGAAGGCAGGAGAGGGAAGCGGAAUUCCCGGUGUAGUGGUGAAAUGCGUAGAUAUCGGGAGGAACACCAGUGGCGAAGGCGGCUUCCUGGCCUGCUCUUGACGCUGAGGCGCGAAAGCUAGGGUAGCAAACGGG